rnacentral:tRNA from 1 species
GGACCAGUAGCUCAUUGGUAAGAACUGGCUGCUCAUAACAGUCUGGUGAUUGUUCGAUUCAAUCCUGGUCUACCA